UGUAUUUAUAACAAUCACAUAAAUGGAAGGUUGCAGGACGAUUUUGGAAAUGUCAAUGGCGUCAACAAAGACAUCGGACAAGAGGUAAACACUUAUCUAUGUUUACCCUCUACUAUUAGAUUAUACUGUUGAAAUUGAUUUUGCGACACAAAUAUGGUGAGUAGAAUCUCACCUUAUAUUUGUUGAUUACAUGUGUUGCACACUGGUCUAUAUGUAUCGGCUCCCCUAUCCAUCUGGGCAGGGUAUGCUCUUCUAAUUAUUAUGAUGAUUUCUACAUGUAGUAAUGCUACUCUCAAUGUUUUUUUGCGUAACAAUCUGACUAUUUUGUAUUGAAAACUUCGUAGUGGUUCUUCCAGUUAAGUUGAGCUUAAGACGUGGUGAUUCUGGUUUGAAAUUUCCUAAAUGCAUUUUCCAAUCCAAAAUUUCUUUUUCCAGAUAUGGACUCUUUUGCUAAGAAAUAGGCCAAUCUGCAUUCAAAGUUAAAUAAAAUAUAUGGCCUUCUAUUGAUAGAUGGAAUUACACACUGAUGGGUUGUGGUUUUUAUUUUACUUAUAGAGAUAGCGAAACUGAAUAUUCUGUUUGCAACACAGCUAUCAUAUAUUCUAAUUCAGACACAAGUGAUGAUACAACAAUGCUCUUCGCCAAAUUCUAAUUCAGGCGAGCAUAGCUUAGCUUGGGACCAUGCCCGUGCAACAGUUAUUGUCAUCUUCAUGCCCCAUAUAAGUUGCUUCUGUCAUGCAUAUAAGACAAAGACGCCAUCAACAGCAGCGACACACAUAGUGAGGUCAUUGCCUGACAGGAUUUUGCUUUGAGCUGCUUGGAGACAUCCAGCGUCGUUGUAUUCCUGCUUUAUUGCCCUGUUUUUACACUGAAAAUCUGAACAUAUGUAGUUGAUUUCCAAUAUUCGAUCGUACUGCAAUAUUUUUUGACUUGGUUAUUUGUACAUAGUACAAGCUUGAAUAUUGAAAAAAAAAUUGUGCAUUACUUUGUAUGUGCAUUUGCACACAUGCAUAUGAUAAUUCACGUCAGAUUUGUUAUGUGCUCUGUU
rnacentral:lncRNA from 1 species